AUGGAGAUAUGGAUCUUAAUAAUUCUUGUAACAGGUGUAUUUGCUGACAGCAUUAAACCAAAAGACACCAAUAUAAUGAGAAGUGAAGGAGAUUCUGUGACACUGAGCUGCACGUAUGCAUCCAGCAGUUAUAUUCUGCUUUACUGGUACAGACAGAAUCCCAACAGAGAACCUCAGUUUAUAUUGUGGAAAGGUGGUGGAUCAUUGAGUGCUAAUGAGGAUAUACCAGACCCUCGGUUUCAGUCAGAAACAUCUGAAUCAUCCACUGAACUCAUUAUUAAGAGUGUUUCUCUGUCAGAUUCAGCUCUAUAUUACUGUGCUCUGAAAGAUGAAGCCCAGUGA